AGACAUUUCUUGAGCUUGGCUAUACAGAAGUUUUCAGUUAGUCUGAAGUCGCCUAGUAUUUGAUUUUACAAUGGACAAAAUUUUUGCCCUGGCACUCUUCAACAUUAUAUUUUUAACGUUGUGCUCAACAGCUCCGGAAGAUUGCUACAAUUACCUUUUUGACUGCACUGAGUGUUACCAAAAUUUGAUUUGCGAAUGCAAGCAGAUGAAACAAUUGAAUUAUAUUAAUAUUACAUGCAAUAAACGGCCUGGAAGACAUACAGGAUACCUAAAUAUGCAAGGAUACUUAAAGGACUGCGUUCCACAAAAAUAUAGGGAGAGUUCUUCUUGCACAAAUUCGUCGAUGUAUUGCAUUAACGGCCAGCAAACCACGGUACCAUCAAAAAGGGAAGAAUAUUAUGAUGAUGAUUAUUAUUAUUAUUAUUAUUAUUACAAAUACUCGUCUGAUUAUAAUUUGGCUGUUGUAAAUUGCUCUGGUGAAAAAAUUACAUGUGACAGGAGCUGUCUGAAUAAUAUUCUUAAACAAAUCAAAUCUCGAGUUUCAUACAAUGUGGUUUUAUUGAACCUCUUGAAACUUAUAGAUAGCAACAUAUUUAUUGCAGAACAAUUGAAUGCAAGUAAUCAGGAGGUUAAUCGAUUGUCAAGCAAUUUAAAUAAUACCAUUUUUGACCGUAAGGAUUUUAAUAAGUCAAAUUAUACUUUUCUAGCCAUUAUAUGUGUACUUGCUGUAACUGUAAUAGCACUACUUGUGGUAGUAGUGAAAAUGAAACUAGACAUUAAAAAUAGUUUAAACCAAUCCACUAUGAGGAAUCAGCUUGCCUUGCAGAUUGAAGUGAGAGAGCCAGAGAACGAGAUAACGAACGGACAGGUUGUUUUUCAAAGUCAAAAUAAUGUACUGUUUGAAACAAAUACUUCUGCAAAUAAUGCAAACCCAGAUCCAAUUUAUAUAAAUGCUUACUAAACAUAUAUAAACACACUAAAUUGCUUUAAAUUCUUAGGAAUUUUUACUCUUCCUAAAUAAAUUUUGUUCAUUGAAAACAGUCUUAA